UACCUUCAGCUGUUUUAUGAAAGUCCUCCAAGUGGAUGAAAGUAUCAACAACCGGAACAAGAGUUUUUCAUUGCCCUAUUUGAGAAGAGCUGCGUGAACGACUUUUAUAUUCAGGAUAGAGAUACAUUCAUCAAUCCAACCACCAGGAGCCGCACUUGCAACUUCAGCCUCCAUCAGAGGACCUCAGCUGCCCCAGCGAACAGGGCCUUCUGUACAGGGAAUGUGCUCCUCCUCGAAGCAUAGACAAGAAGCAGCCCUUAGAUCUCAUCAGGAAAUUCUACGGAGAGAAGGUCGGAAUCUACUUUGCUUGGGCUGGGCUAUUACAUUCAGAUGCUCCUCCUGGCAGCAGUCGUGGGGGUGACUUGAUUUCUGUAUGUAUAUUUUAAUCAAAAUAACUGUACUUAGAGGUAACUUCUCUUUAUUCCUUGUUACGGUGCUUACUUAACUUAGAAUGACAUUCUCCAGGAGCAUCCACGUUGCUGCAAAUGGCCCUAUAUUGUCAGUUUUUAUAGCCGAGUGGUUUUCCAUUGUAUAAAUAUACCACUUCUUUAGCCAGUCAUCCGUUGAUGGACAUUUAGGCUAUCUCCAUGUCUUGGCUAUUGUAAAUAGUGCUGCUAUGUA